rnacentral:rRNA from 1 species
UACGUAGGUGGCAAGCGUUGUCCGGAUUUACUGGGCGUAAAGAGCGCGCAGGCGGUCGGAUAAGUCGAGUGUGAAAGCCCCUGGCUCAACCAGGGAGGGUCAUUCGAUACUGUUCGACUCGAAGGCAGGAGAGGGAAGUGGAAUUCCGGGUGUAGUGGUGAAAUGCGUAGAUAUCCGGAGGAACACCAGCGGCGAAGGCGGCAUCCUGGCCCUGACCUGACGCUGAGGCGCGAGAGCGUGGGGAGCAAACUGG